rnacentral:rRNA from 1 species
AUUGAACGCUGGCGGCAGGCCUAACACAUGCAAGUCGAGCGGUAGAGAGAAGCUUGCUUCUCUUGAGAGCGGCGGACGGGUGAGUAAUGCCUAGGAAUCUGCCYAGUGGUGGGGGAUAACGUUCGGAAACGGACGCUAAUACCGCAUACGUCCUACGGGAGAAAGCGGGGGACCUUCGGGCCUCGCGCCAUUAGAUGAGCCUAGGUCGGAUUAGCUAGUUGGUGAGGUAAAGGCUCACCAAGGCUACGAUCCGUAACUGGUCUGAGAGGAUGAUCAGUCACACUGGAACUGAGACACGGUCCAGACUCCUACGGGAGGCAGCAGUGGGGAAUAUUGGACAAUGGGCGAAAGCCUGAUCCAGCCAUGCCGCGUGUGUGAAGAAGGUCUUCGGAUUGUAAAGCACUUUAAGUUGGGAGGAAGGGUAGUAACUUAAUACGUUGCUACUUGACGUAC